rnacentral:lncRNA from 1 species
CUUGGGUGUUAUUAUGACGGUCUACAGCACGCUAUGCGUGCACAUGGGAUCUUUGACUAGGGUAUUCGUGAUGGUAUUCUCAUGUCUGACAUCGCCUUACGUAGGGUUAUGUCUUCUCGCCAUCCUUUUUCCGUUUGUGCACUCGAAGGGUGUAGGCGUAGCCACAGUUGCCACGAUUGCCUUCCAACUGUGGCAUAUGGCAAAGAUUAUACAGAAUCAUACAGCCCCACCCAGGAUGCCACAGUCUUUGGAUUACUGCCCUGUAAACACUACAUUCCGUGUUUCAUAUCCGGAUGCAGUCAACCAAAGCAGAUUGUUCGAAGCUCCAAGGUAUUAACGUAAUUAUUGCUUGUUAAGGAACUGAA